rnacentral:snoRNA from 1 species
AAUCCAUGGGGAGGGCACCUUCUCAAUAGAUCUUUGUAUCUCUCCCAUGCAUCAUACAGUGUUUCUAAAUCCAUCUGCACAAAAGAAGAUAUAUCAUUCCGUAAUU